ncrna:unclassified sequences drum RNA
CGGUGACAUUGAAGCAAUGGACUGGUUCGGCAUCAGUCUGUUGUGGAGCCUAACCGUGGGUUUAGCGAAAACCACAAGCCGAAUAGAUUCACUCGAAUCGAACGAAAACGCAAAAU